GUGGCUAAGGCCAUGAACAUGGAUGGACCUGCGGUGCAUUAGCUAGUUGGUGAGGUAACGGCCCACCAAGGCGACGAUGCAUAGCCGGGCCUGAGAGGGCGGACGGCCACAUUGGGACUGAGACACGGCCCAAACUCCUACGGGAGGCAGCAGUAGGGAAUUUUCGUCAAUGGGGGGAACCUGAACGAGCAAUGCCGCGUGAGUGAGGAAGGUCUUCGGAUCGUAAAGCUCUGUUGUAAGAGAAAAACGACAUUCAUAGGGAAUGAUGAGUGAGUGAUGGUAUCUUACCAGAAAGUCACGGCUAACUACGUG
rnacentral:rRNA from 1 species